AUUAUAAUUAGAUUUUAAGGAGAUUAACACAUGAUAGCUGCACUUUGAACUAUGUUAGCCAGUAGUAAUGUUUCAGCCAUGGAAAUGUUCUGUGCUAAUAUUAGAAUCCAGAGAAGCUGUAGUUUUUCAUAGCCAUUUCAGUGACAUUUGCUUGGAAGCAUGCUGUACUUCUUACAAAUUUUUUCUUUCUCUCUUUUUUUCUACAGUCCUAUUUUAUCCAGACAAAAGAUAGCUAUAGAAAAGUCUGUGGAAAGAAAAUGUUUUACUCAGUUAAGAGUGUCUGAAGAAUCAAAGACAAAAGGAGCUACAUCCAAAGAGCCGGAGAGUGGAACUUAUCUUGGCCUGGAACCAAGUAUAGAAAGCCAGCAUAAAGAGGAGCCCCAGGAGAGCAGUGCCGGCUGCAGUCGAAUGGACAGGCAGGCAGAUUUCCUGAGCCUCCCAGUCACUGCAGGGAAGGACCACACGGAGGAGCCACUCUGCAGCGCCAGAGCCACACUGGAGCUCCACAACCAGUCCUCAGAGUCAGCCGGGAGCAGGUCAGGCCCAGACUCUGUUGAGAAUGCUUGUGAGGACAUUAGCCGCUUACAGGAGGCUCCCACAGAGGACUGCCCAGAUGUGGCCACAGUAGAGGCCAUUGCUGACCACCCUAAAGUGGUACCCUCUAGUGAGUCAGUGAUAGAGCCAUUGAUCCUACCAGGCUGUGACCGAAUACCUCCUGUGUUGAUUUCUGAGGGUCAGUAUUCACAGACUCAAAGGAAAGAACUUCAUUUGCCACUUCAGGAUGCUUUUGAGGCGUUGCCCACGGACCAACCUGAGAACAAUGAAUUAAAUGUGCUGCAGCAGCCUGAUCUAACAGACAGUGAUGGAAAAUCAACUUCAUUUGCCACUUCAGGAUGCUUUUGA
rnacentral:lncRNA from 1 species